rnacentral:piRNA from 1 species
UUCACCUACCACAUUCGAAUCCAUCUCAGUA